UCCCUGAAGUCAGCGGCGGACGGGUGAGUAACACGUGGGCAACCUGCCUGUAAGACUGGGAUAACUCCGGGAAACCGGGGCUAAUACCGGAUAACUCUUUUCCUCACAUGAGGAAAAGCUGAAAGAUGGUUUCGGCUAUCACUUACAGAUGGGCCCGCGGCGCAUUAGCUAGUUGGUGAGGUAACGGCUCACCAAGGCCACGAUGCGUAGCCGACCUGAGAGGGUGAUCGGCCACACUGGGACUGAGACACGGCCCAGACUCCUACGGGAGGCAGCAGUAGGGAAUCUUCCGCAAUGGACGAAAGUCUGACGGAGCAACGCCGCGUGAGUGAUGAAGGUUUUCGGAUCGUAAAACUCUGUUGUCAGGGAAGAACAAGUACCGGAGUAACUGCCGGUACCUUGACGGUACCUGACCAGAAAGCCACGGCUAACUACGUGCCAGCAGCCGCGGUAAUACGUAGGUGGCAAGCGUUGUCCGGAAUUAUUGGGCGUAAAGCGCGCGCAGGCGGUUCCUUAAGUCUGAUGUGA
rnacentral:rRNA from 2 species